rnacentral:rRNA from 2 species
AGCUCCAAUAGCGUAUAUUAAAGUUGUUGUGGUUAAAAAGCUCGUAGUUGGAUCUCGGCGGUCUGAGGGCGGUUCGCUUGAUUGAGUGCUACUGCUCUAUAGGCCGUGGUUUUGCCAGAGGUCUCGGGGUGCUCUUAACCGAGUGUCCUGCGAUGCUGGCAGGUUUACUUUGAAAAAAUUAGAGUGCUCAAAGCAGGCUUUUACGCCUGAAUAUUCGUGCAUGGAAUAAUAGAAUAGGAAGUCGUUUCUAUUUUGUUGGUUUUCGGAAAUCGACUUAAUGAUUAAUAGGGACAGUCGGGGGCAUUUGUAUUCAAACGACAGAGGUGAAAUUCUUGGACCGUUUGAAGACAAACUACUGCGAAAGCAUUUGCCAAGAAUGUUUUCA